UGGCAGUGUGGUUAGCUGGUUGUGAGUAUUAGUAAACAACCACUAUCUGCAGUGCUUCA
rnacentral:pre_miRNA from 1 species